CUCCAUACUUCAAUUCAACCCAACCAAACCAAUUCAAUUCAACUCUCCUUACCACUUCAUCCUCUCCCAAUCCCCACACACAAACACUACACAACAAAACAUCAUCACACUUUCGGAGGGAAAAACCUUUCCCUUCUCUUCUUCUCCUCCUUCUCCUCAACCCAACAAUGUUCGCUUCAGAAAAUGGGCUUAAAGGAGACCCAAGACUUCAAGCAAUCACCAAAGCCAUCACAGUUGUCCCUCACUUCCCCAAAAAGGGAAUCAUGUUUCAAGACAUCACGACAUUGUUGCUAGAUCAUAAGGCGUUUAAAGAUACUAUCGACAUUUUUGUCGAUCGUUACAGAGACAUGCACAUUUCUGUUGUGGCUGGCAUUGAAGCCAGGGGAUUCUUGUUUGGUCCCUCAAUUGCAUUGGGUAUCGGUGCUAAGUUUGUUCCCCUGCGAAAACCUCGGAAGCUGCCAGGUGAGGUAUUUUCUGAAAAAUAUUCUCUAGAAUAUGGCACUGAUUGUUUGGAGCUGCAUGUUGAUGCUGUCCAGCCCGGUGAACGGGCCAUAGUUAUUGAUGAUUUGGUGGCCACAGGUGGAACUCUGUCAGCAGGAGUAAAACUUCUAGAACGUGCUCAUGCGGAAGUAGUCGAAUGUGCUUGUGUGAUUGGUGUGCCUGAUGUUAAGGGACAGUGCAGGCUCAUUGGAAAGCCACUUUAUGUCCUUGUGGAGCCCCGUCAAGUAGAUAAAUGUUUUUGAGAUUACAAACAUUCUUUAGCUCUUUUUAGUGGCUUUUCGACUCCUGAAAACUGUUAUUAUGCCAAUGUGUUUAACUGGACCAAAAGUUAGCUAGUGCUCUGAAGACCUUGCCAAAAAGGGACCGUCCUACACUUCCCAUGUUUGGUUGUGUCUUUUGAUUUGUACGAGAGAUUGCUUCCACCCAUGGAAAAGACCAAUGAUGAGUCGAACUUUGUUUAACAGUAGUUUUGCCCUUUUUUUGAUAUGAAUCAUGUGGAUGUUAAAUGUCAAUUCUUCUCCGACUUACAUGCAAGAGAAUGCCUCAUCUGAGAAACACAGGCCAUGAUGUGAGUCCCUAGUUUCAGCUAAUGGAGCUGCGUCCUGAGAAUGAUUAUCCUGGAAAUUGUUCCCCUUAUAUCUUAAUUUGGUUGUACAUGUUAGGCUAUCAUGUAUUGCUCAGAUUCAAACAAGCAUUAAGGAAUGGAUGGAUUUUUCUGUCAUUAAAUCAGCAAAAUGUCAAUUUCAGGCCUCA